rnacentral:rRNA from 1 species
GACGUAGGGCGCGAGCGUUGUCCGGAUUUAUUGGGCGUAAAGAGCUCGUAGGCGGCUUGUCGCGUCGACUGUGAAAUCCCGCGGCUCAACUGCGGGUCUGCAGUCGAUACGGGCAGGCUAGAGUUCGGUAGGGGAGACUGGAAUUCCUGGUGUAGCGGUGAAAUGCGCAGAUAUCAGGAGGAACACCAGCGGCGAAGGCGGCACUCUGGGCUGGUAUUGACGCUGAGGAGCGAAAGUGUGGGUAGCAAACAGG